ACCUGAGGGCUGACGUAGUGUUCGUCCUCACGCGCUCGCCUUUCUUUUCCUUUUUCAAGCGGAUUAAACCCAUAGAGCGAGAACUAAGGCGAAGACCGCCGUGGAAAGAAGUUAUAGAAAACUUGAGUUGCACAGAUCUUGUUGAAUUACAGGACACUCAUCCACAGUAAUAGAGGUGUAAUAUUAACGUUCCCUGUGUAGGAUCCACAGAUGGAGGGCAGUUUAUUUUAUGGCUGGUCCAAACCUCGCAAUCAAUAUUUAAUAACAGAGCUGGUGGACUGGUGCAGUGAAGAAAGAAAAGGGAUGCCACAACGUGCCAGGGAGCAUCUGAUCUACAGAACACUUCAAGCUGUGCAGGUUCUUUGUGCCUCUUUUGUUUUCAAGUUGUGACGGUGAGACAGUACGGGGGUGGAUCGGACACAGAGUGGACAUACAGUGGACAGGCCUCGCCCAGGACAGCGGACAGCACACAAAGGAGGACAACAUGAGCCAAACCCGACGAGGGAACAGCCGUCGGUCCACGAUCAGCAUCUGUCCACACGUGGAGAGAGUUGAUCACAACGGGCAAAGGUGCCACGGCUGAACAUACGACUGUACAUUAUGAGAAUCACACAGCCAGCUGGCGGAUUAGCUCGCAAGCUAAUAUAGUUGUUUCUCUGAACUCUCUGAAUGUGUAUUUCCCAAAAUGUCCAAAUACCUCGGAACAUUUCGCCACAUGUGCUUCUCUACUGCUCAAUUUGGAUUUCCAUGAUCCCGUCUUCGUUGGCUUUAAGUACGUUGCCCACUGUCACGCGGCUACUUGGGCUACACAGUAAUAUACAUACAAACAUCUCGAUGUAUAUUUACUAUGUGUAGUGAAAACAGCAGUGAGUUGUCACUGGGGAUGGAACCAGUUUCACUAUGUGGUAAAAACAAACACACCAACUUAAGAGGGGGAAAGAGAGAAGAAUGCGAAAGGAGGAGGAGGAGGAGAGAAAACGAGCGGAUGGCAGGGAGGAGGUCGUGAAACAGUACAACAUCAGACAGCCACUGGAACAUAACAACACAGAGAGAGACAAGUAUUAGGAAAAAUGGUUUAAUAUAGGAGACAGAAGCAAAAAACUGCAUCACACAAGAACAUACGUUUACAAAAAUAAUUCUGACUGCUUCAGCUACACAGUUAGUUCACAGAGAAGGACAGAGAAACCGGAAAAGUCUAAACAGCUAAAAGCAAAAAAGUCUAAUUAGUUGAUCUCUUUAUUAAACUAAUACAUUAAUCCACUGAAGGUGACUAAAUAUUUCUAUUCCUUCUUUUUCUAUAAUUGUCUUAUCGUGUAGACGGCACAAUACAGAAGUCAAAUGAAACUUACCGCUGUUGUAUAGACAAACUUGCUAGAACUAUUUAUAAAGCAAAGGUCUGACACUCACCUACCCUCCGUUUACGGGAAAACAAAGAAAGAACAAAAGAAAGGAAGGUAGAAAGAAAGGAAGGUAGAAAGAAAGAAAGAAAGAAAGAAAGAAAGAAAGAAAGAAAGAAAGAAAGAAAGAAAGAAAGAAAGAAAGAAAGAAAGAAAGAAAGAAAGAAAGAAAGAAAGAAAGAAAGAAAGAAAGAAAGAAAGAAAGAAAGAAAGAACAACACUCAAG